rnacentral:tRNA from 1 species
GCCGAGGUAGCUCAGAUGGUAGAGCGCGGGACUGAAAAUCCCGGCGUGAGCGGUUCGAUUCCGCUCCUCGGCACCA